UGACGGUACCAGAGGAGGAAGCCACGGCUAACUACGUGCCAGCAGCCGCGGUAAUACGUAGGUGGCAAGCGUUGUCCGGAUUUAUUGGGCGUAAAGGGCGCGCAGGCGGUCCUUUAAGUGGGAUGUGAAAUCCCCGGGCUUAACCGCAAGCGGUCUUCCAAACUGGGGGACUUGAGUGCAGAAGAGGAAAGCGGAAUUCCUAGUGUAGCGGUGAAAUGCGUAGAGAUGUGGAAGAACACCAGUGGCGAAGGCGGCUUUCUGGUCUGUAACUGACGCUGAGGCACGAAAGCGUGGGGAGCAAACAGGAUUAGAUACCCUGGUAGUCCACGCCGUAAACGAUGGAAUAAUGAGAGUGUAGGGGGGAUCCAAGUCCUCCUGUGCCG
rnacentral:rRNA from 1 species